rnacentral:rRNA from 1 species
ACGGAAGGCAGCAGUGGGGAAUAUUGCACAAUGGGGGAAACCCUGAUGCAGCAACGCCGCGUGAGUGAAGAAGUAUCUCGGUAUGUAAAGCUCUAUCAGCAGGGAAGAAAAAGGACGGUACCUGACUAAGAAGCCCCGGCUAACUACGUGCCAGCAGCCGCGGUAAUACGUAGGGGGCAAGCGUUGUCCGGAAUUACUGGGUGUAAAGGGAGCGCAGGCGGGAAAUCAAGUUGGAUGUGAAAUGUCGGGGCUUAACCCCGGAACUGCAUCCAAAACUGAUUUUCUUGAGUGAAGUAGAGGUAGGCGGAAUUCCGAGUGUAGCGGUGAAAUGCGUAGAUAUUCGGAGGAACACCAGUGGCGAAGGCGGCCUACUGGGCUUUAACUGACGCUGAGGCUCGAAAGUGUGGGGAGCAAACAGGAUUAGAUACCCUGGUA